rnacentral:rRNA from 1 species
UACGAAGGGUGCAAGCGUUACUCGGAAUUACUGGGCGUAAAGCGUGCGUAGGUGGUUUUUUAAGUCCGUUGUGAAAGCCCUGGGCUCAACCUGGGAAUGGCAGUGGAUACUGGAAAGCUAGAGUGCGGUAGAGGGUAGUGGAAUUCCCGGUGUAGCAGUGAAAUGCGUAGAGAUCGGGAGGAACACCAGUGGCGAAGGCGAGUCCCUGGACAUCUCCUGACACUGAGGCACGAAAGCUAGGGGAGCAAACAGG